UACGGAGGGUGCAAGCGUUAAUCGGAGUUACUGGGCGUAAAGGGCGCGUAGGCGGUGAGAUGAGUGUGAUGUGAAAGCCCUGGGCUUAACCUGGGAAGGGCAUUGCAAACGACCUGACUGGAGUAUAAGAGAGGGUGGCGGAAUUUCCGGUGUAGCGGUGAAAUGCGUAGAGAUCGGAAGGAACGUCAAUGGCGAAGGCAGCCACCUGGCUUAAUACUGACGCUGAGGCGCGAAAGCGUGGGGAGCGAACAGG
rnacentral:rRNA from 1 species